rnacentral:rRNA from 1 species
GCUUGCUCCCUGAUGUUAGCGGCGGACGGUGAGUAACACGUGGGUAACCUGCCUGUAAGACUGGGAUAACUCCGGGAAACCGGGGCUAAUACCGGAUGCUUGUUUGAACCGCAUGGUUCAAAUAUAAAAGGUGGCUUCGGCUACCACUUACAGAUGGACCCGCGGCGCAUUAGCUAGUUGGUGGAGGUAACGGCUCACCAAGGCAACGAUGCGUAAGCCGACCUGAGAGGGUGAUCGGCCACACUGGGACUGAGACACGGCCCAGACUCCUACGGGAGGCAGCAGUAGGGAAUCUUCCGCAAUGGACGAAAGUCUGACGGAGCAACGCCGCGUGAGUGAUGAAGGUUUUGAUCGUAAAGCUCUGUUGUUAGGGAAGAACAAGUACCGUUCGAAUAGGGCGGUACCUUGACGGUACCUAACCAGAAAGCCACGGCUAACUACGUGCCAGCAGCCGCGGUAAUACGUAGGUGGCAAGCGUUGUCCGGAAUUAUUGGGCGUAAAGGGCUCGCAGGCGGUUUCUUAAGUCUGAUGUGAAAGCCCCCGGCUCAACCGGGGAGGGUCAUUGGAAACUGGGGAACUUGAGUGCAGAAGAGGAGAGUGGAAUUCCACGUGUAGCGGUGAAAUGCGUAGAGAUGUGGAGGAACACCAGUGGCGAAGGCGACUCUCUGGUCUGUAACUGACGCUGAGGAGCGAAAGCGUGGGGAGCGAACAGGAUUAGAUACCCUGGUAGUCCACGCCGUAAACGAUGAGUCGCUAAGUGUUAGGGGGUUUCCGCCCUUAGUGCUGCAGCUAACGCAUUAAGCACUCCGCCUGGGGAGUACGGUCGCAAGAUGAAACUCAAAGGAAUUGACGGGGGCCCGCACAAGCGGUGGAGCAUGUGGUUUAAUUCGAAGCAACGCGAAGAACCUUACCAGGUCUUGACAUCCUCUGACAAUCCUAGAGAUAGGACGUCCCCUUCGGGGGCAGAGUGACAGGUGGUGCAUGGUUGUCGUCAGCUCGUGUCGUGAGAUGUUGGGUUAAGUCCCGCAACGAGCGCAACCCUUGAUCUUAGUUGCCAGCAUUCAGUUGGGCACUCUAAGGUGACUGCCGGUGACAAACCGGAGGAAGGUGGGGAUGAGUCAAAUCAUCAUGCCCCUUAUGACCUGGGCUACACACGUGCUACAAUGGACAGAACAAAGGGCAGCGAAACCGCGAGGUUAAGCCAAUCCCACAAAUCUGUUCUCAGUUCGGAUCGCAGUCUGCAACUCGACUUGGCGUGAAGCUGGAAUCGCUAGUAAUCGCGGAUCAGCAUGCCGCGGUGAAUACGUCCCGGGCCUUGUACACACCGCCCGUCACACCACGAGAGUUUGUAACACCCGAAGUCGGUGAGGU